GAGUAAAGAUUUCGGUCGCUUUGGGAGGAGCUCGCUUACUAUCAGCUUGUUGGUAGGGUAAUGGCCUACCAAGGCUAUGACGGUUAGGGGGUGUGAGAGCAUGACCCCCAGCAUUGGCACUGAAACACUGGCCAAACACCUACGGGUGGCUGCAGUCGAGAAUCUUCCACAAUGGGGGAAACCCUGAUGGAGCGAUGCUGCGUGCGGGAUGAAGGCCUUCGGGUUGUAAACCGCUUUUGUAGGGGACGAAAUUUUUGACGGUACCCUUUCGAAUAAGAGGUUGCUAACUCUGUGCCAGCAGCAGCGGUAAUACAGAGACCUCAAGCGUUAUCCGGAUUUACUGGGCGUAAAGCGUCUGUAGGGGGUUUAUUAAGUUCCAAGUAAAAUUCCAAGGCUCAACUUUGAAUUCGCUUGGAAAACUAAUAAACUGGAGUCUAGCAGAGGUGCAUGGAACUUGUGGUGUAGGAGUGAAAUCCGUUGAUAUCACAAGGAACACCAAAGGCGAAGGCAUUGCACUGGGCUAGCACUGACCCUGAGAGACGAAAGCGUGGGGAGCAAAACGGAUUAGAUACCCGUGUAGUCCACGCCCUAAACGAUGAAUGCUAAAUGUUCGGGGAUUCGACCCCCUGGGUGUUACAGCUAACGCGUUAAGCAUUCCGCCUGGGAAGUACGGCCGCAAGGCUAAAACUCAAAGGAAUAGACGGGGAUCCGCACAAGCGGUGGAGCGUCUGGUUUAAUUCGACAGUAAGCGUGGUACCUCACCAGGGUUUGACAUCCCUUGACAGCCUUGGAAACAAGGUUUCCUUCGGGCAAGGUGACAGGUGCUGCAUGGUCGUCGUCAGUUCGUGCCGUGAGGUGUUCCGUUAAGUCGGGAAACGAACGAAACCCCUAUUGCAUGUUACAAUUUCUCAUGCAAGACUGCCCGGAUAUACUGGGAGGAAGGUGGGGAUGACGUCAGAUCUGCAUGGUCCUUAUACCCUGGGCGACACAGGCGCUACAAUGGCAGAGACAAAGGGUUGCAAAACCGCAAGGUGAAGCUAAUCCCAAAAACUUUGUCUAAGUUCGGAUUGAAGGCUGCAAUUCGCCUUCAUGAAGCUGGAAUCGCUAGUAAUCGUGAAUCAGCCACGUCACGGUGAAUAUGUUCCCGGAUCUUGUACUCACCGCCCGUCACACCAAGAGAGUUGGUAGCUCCCGAAG
rnacentral:rRNA from 1 species